CUAUUAGAAAGUGUUUUGUGCUAAUACUCUAGCAGAGAUCCGACGUGUUGUUUACAGGUUGCUGCUUCUUGGUAGGUUUUAAUUAUGUUGAAACACAAUACAAGGGAAAAGAAUUAGGUGCAUGUGAAAAAUUAUCACCCAUGCGAUUAUGUCAGUCAUCUAGAAAGAGUCAGACAAAACAUCUCCACAAGAACUUUUUGGUCAAUAUCACUUCAGUAAGUGGUUUUGUUUUGAGUUGCAUUACUAUGGGUCACGGGGCUUGACUAGUAGUUUGACUAUCAUAUUGUCAUAUGAGCCUUAAUAAUAAAAAUAUCAAAAAUUGUAAGAUUGUCAUGUAGCAUUAAAAGAGGACCGGUGAUAUUGCUUGUAGGACUGAAAUUAAUAAAGGAAGCUUUUCAAUCCAAUAGUGGUGGUUUCCUGCAUAAAAACAGUGCUUGAUGUUCUUAAUCCAAACUCAAGCAUGCGGUUGAUUUAGCCAAGUGCAGGCCAACUCAAGUGGUAUGUGAUGUUGGUGUUCACAUUUAUAGAAUAUAAUUAUUUUGCAUGCGUACACUCAAAUUUGGCAUGUUAACUGGACUCUAUUUUUUUGUUGUUAUGCCAUUUCCUUUUUGGUGUGAUGGUUCCAUGUCUUGUCAUAAUUCUUGGGUCCUUCAGCUGUACCAGGCUAGUAUAGCUCUCUUCCCCUGUUAUUUUAUAUUGGGGGUGUAGGUGGUGUGAUGAUCCUGUGGGUGCUCAGCUGAUGCAUUAGCAGAUUUUUAUGUUGUCUGCAGUGUCUCCAAUGAAGAUGUCUUUGGCAUUGCAGAAUGUCAGAAAUGUUCUUAAGCCAAGUGGUACCUUACUUUUCAGAGACUAUGCCAUGGGGGAUUAUGCUCAAAUAUCUUGUUUCUUCAGUAUUUCCAUUUACUGGUUUUGUGCCUAUCGGAUAUUUGUCUUCCCACAAGGCGCAAGGAUAUUUAUGUCUCUUUUAUUAUGUUAUCGUAAUUGCUGAUCAAAAUUAACAGGAGAAACUUGCCAAGAAAUGUCAGAUAAUUAGCAAUAACUUCUAUGUCCGUGGUGAUGGCACUGUGGGUGGUUUUUUUCUACCUGGUGGUUCAUUUCUUAAUAAAAUUCUCUAUUUUUGAUUGCAACCUCAUCUAAAGCUUCAGUAUGGUGAUUAGAGUGCGCUUUCUACUUCUCCAAGGUUCAUUAUCAACCUUGUUUGAAAGAAAUGGCUUUGACACUGUGGAAGUCAGUGUGUACUGCAAACAGAUUGUGAAUCGCCCCCGAAAAGUAAUCAUGGAUCGGUAUGUAAACUGUUGCUCUAAAUCACAUUCCUUCUCUAAACAUCAAUAACAAUUCACAUAUAAAGUAUUAUUUGAUAUAGCUAUACUCUAUGCACCUUCAAGGAACAAAAACAUGAUUUGACACCUAAUAUAAGACAAUUUAAUAACCACCAUCUUUAAUUUUCAUUUUUCUUUGUGAUCUGUAAUUUAGUUGUAAUUCUUAUCUCUUGCAUAUGUCAGUCAAUAAAAUCCAAGGAAUAUAGAGUGAUAGUUUUGUGAGCAAUUAGGAAACUAAUUAAGGCUACAACAUAAGUAUUUCGUAUCUUUGAAGCAUUAUGAGGUUUUGCCAUAAAUUUUGAUUAUAAUUUUGGUCGUUUUACUGCUUACCAAAUGAAUUUUGUUCAAAUUUUGUUCCUUUUUGUGAAGAUGAUUUCUUCAUAUUGACCCCAGAAAUAAGUGCUUUAUUUGGUGCUUCUGGAGCCCAAGCAUUUUGUGCCCUUUUUUUUUGUGAAGGCGGAUUCCAUUCAUAUAGCUCUAAUGUGAGUACAAUAUGCAAAAUCAAGUGAAAGUAAACAGUACAAACGGUAAAAGCGGAUUCCAUUCAUAUAGCUCUAAUGUGAGUACAAUAUGCAAAAUCAAGUGAAAGUAAACAGUACAAACGGUGUGGAAUGCUAGCUAAAUUAGUCCAAAGAACCUCUCCGGAAUGCCGGGCGACAUAGGAGGCGACCCAGUCUGCUGCCUGUUUCCGAUACAUAGGAACUAUCCGGAAAGAAGUCAACUCCCUGACCAAAGUGCGGAUAUCUCGUAUCAAUGGAUGGCCGUCUCCGUACCUGUCUGGUCCCCUGAUCCAAUUUAUAACCGUGGACGAAUCACCCUCAAGGAAUACACUGUUGGCCCCCACCACCCGUCUAACAUACAAAUGUAAUAACCCCAAAAAAAAAAAAUUUAUAUAAAAAGGGAUAGAAUAGUCCUUUAA